GUUCAGAAGCAUUCUAUCAAAAAACUAUGUAUGGAUGAAUUGAACCUUGUGGUUUUAUCUGGAAGUUCGCUGAAUAGCAUUAGGGUCGCACACGCAUACCAAAUUCGCGAACGAGCUGUGAAGGCAACUCUCCACGCGGUGAAUGUAAAUUACAUUCACGCCGUGGAGAGUUGCGUUUGCUGCCUUCUGUUGACUUUAGUAUUAGCGCUACACUAAUACAUUGUUCUACAAAGUUUCAGGUAAAACCAAAAUGUAAAAGUGCUCCAUACAUUAGUUUUUGCUACGAUGUUUCUGAAGCGAGUUACUCGCAAGUGAAUGUAAAUAAUUGCAAAUGAAUGAUCUUAUCCUUGAUUAUCAAUAGAUUUUUGCAGUUGUUUGGGUACACUAUCUAUUUUGCAGCAGCUUUUCGGAGCAGCUCAAAAACUGAAAUUUAAUUUAUUAGCGUUAACAAAUAUGUUUACAUUUGAAAUUCUUCCCACUACUCACUCAAAUAGUUUCCUCCUUUCUUACGAAUCCACCUUCUUCCUUGAUCUUACUUGCUCUCCCUCUUGCUUUCUCCUUCUUUAACUUCACUCCUGCUAUUCAAACAACUCAUUAAACUACGAACGUUCACUGUCUUCAAUGAAAUACUUACAACUACACCGUACAAAGCAACGCUAGCUUACGGUUUCAUCCAAUGCUCCGUCUUCCGUGUGGUACAAACUAGGUCACCGACGCAGUUAACUACACCUACGUAUAAUUUAGCGCGACCUUCCGUUCGCUAACACAGAUAAUUUUUUGGAAUAAGGACUGUUCAAUUUAUAAAACGGACAACUUGCUUGUGCGAUAUCUUUUUUAUUUUUCAAUAAAAUCAUUAUCAAUUUUUUGCGUAACUUUCUAUAGCUAUUCUCAAAUGUAGGAAAAAUAUAACAUUAAGCAAAAUGUUGCUUAUUGUGUAACUGAAGCGGUUUUCGUAAAACAUCAAUAAAAACCCAUUUCUUAAAAUUCGACAUAACUUUCCACAUACUUAACAUGCACAUUUUCAUGAAGUUUUUAAUGAAUUGGAAGCUCACACUAUUCUAUUAAAGGUCAGGCUCAAUAGUUGAUCAGCAAUAAUGCACCAAGCAGGCUCCAGCUUGAUAUAGUGAGUUGCCUAGUUUUCAUAGAAAUUAUUAAAAAAUGUUAAAAUAAGUCCUGUGUUGCAAUAACAUCACGGAUUCGGCUAAAAAUUUGUCCAGAGUAGUAGAAUAUUGCUCUCUGAAUGAUACAGAAGAAAAAUUAACUAUUAAUUGCA